GGAGAUUGAGAGCCCGCUGGCUCUGUUGAAGGAUGCUUCCUUUGUUGAGCCUUUGGGGAACUGUGGGAAGAAGGUUCUGCUGUGGUGGUUGCGUGUUGAGGCGAGAUCUGAUAGCAAGUUCCCACCGGGAUGGGUAAUUGACCCUCCUUUGGACAUCACUGUCCCUGCAAAGCACACUCCGUGGCCUCACGCACCUCUUGAUCCUGAAAUUGUUGUUGAGAAGACGACUAUGGAUGUUGAACAUGUGGAAAAGCGCGC
rnacentral:misc_RNA from 1 species